UUGUUAAAUCAACAAUGGGAGUCACUGGGUUCAUGCUCCCCACAUAGGAUCUCUGUCCUUAAUGUGUUUAACUAUGAAACUCAAAAACAACACUACUAGUCGAACAAUACCCUAUACCUGGUCCGGUUGUGUGAGUGCAGCCUGUUGAAAUCUCUGCUUAGUAUAUACUAAGUUGAUCUUCAGUAUAUGAAGCUGUUCAGCUCCUCCCAACUCCCAUUUGCAGAACCUAUUAGUAUUCUUGAAGAAAAUGGAAUCUAUUUCCUAAUAUUUGUACAAUUUCCUCAAAAGGCAAUACUUCUAUGGCUUCAUCUAUCACCGUUAUACCAAUGUCUCCAAAUUCAUGAUCUCCAGCCCUGCGCUCUCACCAUGUUGUCAUCAGCUUACUAAAUCCUGACACUCAAUGUUCAGCCAAUGCAGGAAGUCCAAUUGAAUCUUGCUGGAUGAUGAGGAUAGGAUGCCAGUCCCAGAAUGACUCAACAACAAUGAUUUAUGGAUGCUAAUAGCUCUUCACGUCCUCCACUUUCAUCCUUGAGAAAGCAGUAAGCCAUUUCCUAGAAAACAGAGUUGCUACAUUUGUUCUGAAUCAUUGAUGGUCUUGACAAAGAAGAGAGUGGCCUAUGACUUAUAUACAUUUCUUUCAUUGGUAAAAUCUACCUUUUCUUUUGAAAGAAUAAUUAUGUAAUUACAUAGACAUACUUAGAGAAGGCCCCAGUAGAAUAAUCUUAGAGGUUUAAGUUUCAGUAUAUCCCAAGUUAUAAUGUAUAUUUUAUUUUUUGUAUUUGAAAAAUGGUGGUACAUGACAGGUGUUUAUUUUGUUUUGUAUUAUAAAAUAUAGUUAGCACACCAAAUCUAUGAUUUUUAUGGACAUUAUUAGUUGGAGACAUUAAAAGAAUAAUGGGAAGUAAUUGAAGGGAAGUAAUAUAGGUAAUACAUGACUAAAGCAAACCCUUAGAGAAGUAAAUCAAAUUAUGAAGUUUGGGAAACACAGAUUUCAAUAAAUAAAAAAGGUACAUAAUAAAUUUUCCUAAUAAACUUUGAUAGUAAACUUUGGAGCAGCUGGGACUUCAAUUAACACUCAAAUAUGGGAUGCCAAUGUCACAGAUGGAGGCUUAAUCUGCUGCACCACAAUGUCAGCCCCAGGGAUUAGUGUCCUUCUAAGAGCCCCAAGAAAGCUUGCUUCUCUCUGAAGAUAUGUGAAGAAGUCCUCAGUAUGAAGCUCACAAGUGGGCCUUCACAAGAAUUCAAGCAUGUGAACACCCUAAUGCUGGACUUCCAGCCUCCAGAACUGUGAAGAACACAUGGAAAAAUAAGUUUCACAUAAUCUCAGUCAUUUGUGGAAUAAAGAUUAAUGGGUGAUCUCAUAGAAGUUAAGAAUAUGAUGGUGAUUACAAGGGAUGCUGAGGGAAGUGGACAGAAUUGACGGGUUAAAUUUAAUUGACAGGAUCCAUCAUAUGGAUCCUAGGAAAUUCCAGAAGACAUCGAAACAGAGAAAGUUUUAAAAGGCCUUCUUAAUGAAAUAAUAGCAGAGCACUUCUCCCUUCUGGAUGGAGAAAGAUAGAGGCAUCCAAGUUCAGGAAGUGCACAGAACUCCCAAUAGACAGGACCAGAAAAGAGCCUUACCUAGACACAUAGUGGCAAAGCUCUCCUCAGUAAUACAUAAAGAUCCUAAAAUGUG